CCUACGGGCGGCAGCAGUGAGGAAUAUUGGUCAAUGGGCGCGAGCCUGAACCAGCCACGUAGCGUGAAGGAUGACUGCCCUACGGGUUGUAAACUUCUUUUAUAGAGAAGUAAAGUGAGGCACGUGGGCCUUUUUGUAUGUACUUUAUGAAUAAGGAUCGGCUAACUCCGUGCCAGCAGCCGCGGUAAUACGGAGGAUCCGAGCGUUAUCCGGAUUUACUGGGUUUAAAGGGAGCGUAGAUGGGUUGUUAAGUCAGUUGUGAAAGUUUGCGGCUCAACCGUAAAAUUGCAAUUGAUACUGGCAGCCUUGAGUACAGGUGAGGUAGGCGGAAUUCGUGGUGUAGCGGUGAAAUGCUUAGAUAUCACGAAGAACUCCGAUUGCGAAGGCAGCCUACUAGACUGCAACUGACAUUGAUGCUCGAAAGUGUGGGUAUCAAACAGGAUUAGAUACCCGAGUAGUC
rnacentral:rRNA from 1 species